rnacentral:tRNA from 1 species
GACGGUAUAGUUUAUAUUAGAAUGCGUACUCUGCAAGUACGAGGUGGAUUUUUCCUAUUGUUG